rnacentral:rRNA from 1 species
UUAAGCGACUAAGCGUACACGGUGGAUGCCCUGGCAGUCAGAGGCGAUGAAGGACGUGCUAAUCUGCGAAAAGCGCCGGCGAGGUGAUAUGAACCCUUGACCCGGCGAUGUCCGAAUGGGGAAACCCAGUGCAAUCCGUUGCACUAUCGUUAACUGAAUACAUAGGUUAACGAGGCGAACCGGGGGAACUGAAACAUCUAAGUACCCCGAGGAAAAGAAAUCAACCGAGAUUCCCCCAGUAGCGGCGAGCGAACGGGGAGCAGCCCGGAGUCUGAAUCAGCUUGUGUGUUAGUGGAACGGUCUGGAAAGUCCGACGGUACAGGGUGAUAGUCCCGUACACGAAAAUGCACAUGCUGUGAACUCGAAGAGUAGGGCGGGACACGUGGUAUCCUGUCUGAAUAUGGGGGGACCAUCCUCCAAGGCUAAAUACUCCUGACUGACCGAUAGUGAACCAGUACCGUGAGGGAAAGGCGAAAAGAACCCCGGCGAGGGGAGUGAAAAAGAACCUGAAACCGUGUACGUACAAGCAGUGGGAGCCUCUUUAUGGGGUGACUGCGUACCUUUUGUAUAAUGGGUCAGCGACUUAUAUUCUGUAGCAAGGUUAACCGUAUAGGGGAGCCGAAGGGAAACCGAGUCUUAACUGGGCGUUAAGUUGCAGGGUAUAGACCCGAAACCCGGUGAUCUAGCCAUGGGCAGGUUGAAGGUUGGGUAACACUAACUGGAGGACCGAACCGACUAAUGUUGAAAAAUUAGCGGAUGACCUGUGGCUGGGGGUGAAAGGCCAAUCAAACCGGGAGAUAGCUGGUUCUCCCCGAAAGCUAUUUAGGUAGCGCCUCGUGAACUCAUCUUCGGGGUAGAGCACUGUUUCGGCUAGGGGGCCAUCCCGGCUUACCAACCCGAUGCAAACUACGAAUACCGAAGAAUGUUAUCACGGGAGACACACGGCGGGUGCUAACGUCCGUCGUGAAGAGGGAAACAACCCAGACCGCCAGCUAAGGUCCCAAAGUCAUGGUUAAGUGGGAAACGAUGUGGGAAGGCACAGACAGCCAGGAUGUUGGCUUAGAAGCAGCCAUCAUUUAAAGAAAGCGUAAUAGCUCACUGGUCGAGUCGGCCUGCGCGGAAGAUGUAACGGGGCUAAACCAUGCACCGAAGCUGCGGCAGCGACGCUUAUGCGUUGUUGGGUAGGGGAGCGUUCUGUAAGCCGUUGAAGGUGUGCUGUGAGGCAUGCUGGAGGUAUCAGAAGUGCGAAUGCUGACAUAAGUAACGAUAAAGCGGGUGAAAAGCCCGCUCGCCGGAAGACCAAGGGUUCCUGUCCAACGUUAAUCGGGGCAGGGUGAGUCGACCCCUAAGGCGAGGCCGAAAGGCGUAGUCGAUGGGAAACAGGUUAAUAUUCCUGUACUUGGUGUUACUGCGAAGGGGGGACGGAGAAGGCUAUGUCAGCCGGGCGACGGUUGUCCCGGUUUAAGCAUGUAGGCGGAGGUUCCAGGUAAAUCCGGUACCUUAUUAACGCUGAGGUGUGAUGACGAGGCACUACGGUGCUGAAGUGAUAAAUGCCCUGCUUCCAGGAAAAGCCUCUAAGCAUCAGGUAACACGAAAUCGUACCCCAAACCGACACAGGUGGUCAGGUAGAGAAUACCAAGGCGCUUGAGAGAACUCGGGUGAAGGAACUAGGCAAAAUGGUGCCGUAACUUCGGGAGAAGGCACGCUGAUGUGUAGGUGAAGCCCCUGCGGGUGGAGCUGAAAUCAGUCGAAGAUACCAGCUGGCUGCAACUGUUUAUUAAAAACACAGCACUGUGCAAACACGAAAGUGGACGUAUACGGUGUGACGCCUGCCCGGUGCCGGAAGGUUAAUUGAUGGGGUUAGCGGCAACGCGAAGCUCUUGAUCGAAGCCCCGGUAAACGGCGGCCGUAACUAUAACGGUCCUAAGGUAGCGAAAUUCCUUGUCGGGUAAGUUCCGACCUGCACGAAUGGCGUAAUGAUGGCCAGGCUGUCUCCACCCGAGACUCAGUGAAAUUGAACUCGCUGUGAAGAUGCAGUGUACCCGCGGCAAGACGGAAAGACCCCGUGAACCUUUACUAUAGCUUGACACUGAACACUGGUCCUUGAUGUGUAGGAUAGGUGGGAGGCUUUGAAGCGUGGACGCCAGUCUGCGUGGAGCCAACCUUGAAAUACCACCCUUUAAUGGCUGGUGUUCUAACGUGGACCCGUAAUCCGGGUUGCGGACAGUGUCUGGUGGGUAGUUUGACUGGGGCGGUCUCCUCCCAAAGAGUAACGGAGGAGCACGAAGGUUGGCUAAUCCUGGUCGGACAUCAGGAGGUUAGUGCAAUGGCAUAAGCCAGCUUGACUGCGAGCGUGACGGCGCGAGCAGGUGCGAAAGCAGGUCAUAGUGAUCCGGUGGUUCUGAAUGGAAGGGCCAUCGCUCAACGGAUAAAAGGUACUCCGGGGAUAACAGGCUGAUACCGCCCAAGAGUUCAUAUCGACGGCGGUGUUUGGCACCUCGAUGUCGGCUCAUCACAUCCUGGGGCUGAAGUAGGUCCCAAGGGUAUGGCUGUUCGCCAUUUAAAGUGGUACGCGAGCUGGGUUUAGAACGUCGUGAGACAGUUCGGUCCCUAUCUGCCGUGGGCGCUGGAGAAUUGAGGGGGGCUGCUCCUAGUACGAGAGGACCGGAGUGGACGCAUCACUGGUGUUCGGGUUGUCAUGCCAAUGGCACUGCCCGGUAGCUAAAUGCGGAAGAGAUAAGUGCUGAAAGCAUCUAAGCACGAAACUUGCCCCGAGAUGAGUUCUCCCUGAGACUUUAAGUCUCCUGAAGGAACGUUGAAGACGACGACGUUGAUAGGUCGGGUGUGUAAGCGCAGCGAUGCGUUGAGCUAACCGAUACUAAUGAACCGUGAGGCUUAACCU